UACUCCUACGGGAGGCAGCAGUGGGGAAUAUUGGACAAUGGGCGCAAGCCUGAUCCAGCCAUACCGCGUGGGUGAAGAAGGCCUUCGGGUUGUAAAGCACUUUUGUCCGGAAAGAAAUGGCUCUGGUUAAUACCCGGAGUCGAUGACGGUACCGGAAGAAUAAGGACCGGCUAACUACGUGCCAGCAGCCGCGGUAAUACGUAGGGUCCAAGCGUUAAUCGGAAUUACUGGGCGUAAAGCGUGCGCAGGCGGUUGUGCAAGACCGAUGUGAAAUCCCCGGGCUUAACCUGGGAAUUGCAUUGGUGACUGCACGGCUAGAGUGUGUCAGAGGGAGGUAGAAUUCCACGUGUAGCAGUGAAAUGCGUAGAGAUGUGGAGGAAUACCGAUGGCGAAGGCAGCCUCCUGGGAUAACACUGACGCUCAUGCACGAAAGCGUGGGGAGCAAACAGGAUUAGAUACCCUGGUAGUCCACGCCCUAAACGAUGUCAACUAGUUGUUGGGGAUUCAUUUCCUUAGUAACGUAGCUAACGCGUGAAGUUGACCGCCUGGGGAGUACGGUCGCAAGAUUAAAACUCAAAGGAAUUGACGGA
rnacentral:rRNA from 1 species